CUUAAGAACCCGAUGUAGAUGGAAGCCUCCGUUUUCUGUCUUGUUGAACGCACCUAGAAGACACAGUGUGAAGAUCUGUGAAGGAUGAGAUUUAGAAUGCAUGCUAUCACUGAAUUAAUAGGCAUACCAGAGCAGACGUAAAGGAAGGACACUGAAACCUUGGCAGGCUUUCUGUGUAUCUGCAAAGUCCACACCAGGAUGGGUGAAGGAGAACGGAAUGGGGAAAAUGCGAGCACAGAAAGUGUCCCUUAUUUCCAUCACAAGAAGAUUUUUACAAAGCUGUGGGAGAAUGUCACACUACUGCCUAGACUGAUCCUGGAGUUUCCCCCCAAGGAAAUCCUUUGGAUCUAGAAGUUACUUCUAGGUAACAUGAACCCCAGUGUCUGAGGCAAUCCACACGUACAUAACUGAGCUCAG